ensembl:misc_RNA Y_RNA Y RNA
GGCUGGUCCGAUGGCAGUGGGUUAUCAGAACUUAUUAACAUUAGUGUCACUAAAGUUGGUGUGCCCCCCCCCCACUGCUAAAUUUGACUGGCUUAAA